rnacentral:rRNA from 1 species
CCUACGGGAGGCAGCAGUGAGGAAUAUUGGUCAAUGGCCGGAAGGCUGAACCAGCCAUGCCGCGUGAAGGUCAGUGCCCUAUGGGCGUUAAACUUCUUUUGUGCGGGAGCAAUAAUGGUCACGUGUGGCCAGACGAGAGUACCGUACGAAUAAGCAUCGGCUAACUCCGUGCCAGCAGCCGCGGUAAUACGGGGGAUGCAAGCGUUAUCCGGAUUUAUUGGGUUUAAAGGGUGCGUAGGCUGUGAGGUAAGUCAGCGGUGAAAUGCCCCCGCUCAACGGGGUGAAGUGCCAUUGAUACUGCCUGGCUGGAAGGCGGAUGCCGUGGGAGGAAGGUGUGGUGUAGCGGUGAAAUGCAUAGAUAUCACACAGAACACCGAGUGCGAAGGCAUCUCACGAAUCCGCGAUUGACGCUGAUGCACGAAAGCGUGGGUAUCAAACAGGAUUAGAUACCCUUGUAGUC